rnacentral:lncRNA from 1 species
UAAAGAGUUUUUUUUAAAAAAAAAAGUUUUACAAGCUUGUUAUUUUAUCUUCAAAGCAUAAUAUCUCUUCAAGCUAUAUAUUGACAUGUAAAAGGAAAAGUUGAUCAAAGACUUGUUAUUAAAAAAUUUAACUUUCAUGGAUCUUUACAUUAAGAAGAAAAGAAGAGAGUUUGCAAUUUUUAAAGCUUGUAAUUGGUUGAAAUUAAGAACCAUUUUUUAGUCAAAAUUUUAGUUCAAAAAUAGUAGAGAAAGACCAUAAGAUAAAAUAAUAAAGUGGAAGGU